AUACGUAGGGGGCAAGCGUUGUCCGGAAUGAUUGGGCGUAAAGGGCGCGUAGGCGGCCUUUUAAGUCCGAUGUGAAAGUCCUACUUUUAAGGUGGGAAUUGCAUUGGAAACUGGAAGGCUUGAGUGCAGGAGAGGUAAGUGGAAUUCCCGGUGUAGCGGUGAAAUGCGUAGAGAUCGGGAGGAACACCAGUGGCGAAGGCGACUUACUGGACUGUAACUGACGCUGAGGCGCGAAAGUGUGGGGAGCAAACAGGAUUAGAUACCCUGGUAGUCCACACUGUAAACGAUGAGUGCUAGGUGUAGGAGGUAUCGACCCCUUCUGUGCCGGAGUUAACACAAUAAGCACUCCGCCUGGGGAGUACGGCCGCAAGGUUGAA
rnacentral:rRNA from 1 species